rnacentral:rRNA from 1 species
UACGGAGGGCGCGAGCGUUAAUCGGAAUUACUGGGCGUAAAGCGUGCGUAGGCUGUUUGGUAAGUCAGGCGUGAAAGCCCUCGGCUCAACCGGGGAACUGCGUUUGAUACUGCCGGACUCGAGUCCCGGAGAGGGUGGCGGAAUUCCUGGUGUAGGAGUGAAAUCCGUAGAUAUCAGGAGGAACACCGGUGGCGAAGGCGGCCACCUGGACGGGUACUGACGCUGAGGCACGAAAGCGUGGGGAGCAAACAGGAUUAGAUACCCUGGUAGUCCACGCGGUAAACGAUGGAUGCUAGGUGUCGGGGAGCGAUCUUCGGCGCCGCAGCUAACGCAUUAAGCAUCCCGCCUGGGGAGUACGGUCGCAAGGCUGAA